CACUUUCAAAUCCUUUGAAUGGUUGCAAGAGCGCUCGGUUUCAAAUGAAUUCGAUCGCAAAUUUGAGUUCUGUUAUCUAUUUUUGUAUGUAAUAUGCAAAUACGUAUGCAUAGAAUAAUAGAAAUAUUAUGACAAAUUGUAAAUAAGGAGAAAAUUAAGAUUUAGAUUAUGGAGUAAAGAAAUUAUGAGUUUUUAAUACUUAAAGAUAUUAUAAAUUUGGCUUUGAAAAUAUUAGUAGCGGAUAUUCAAUACAUUCUUGUGGAUUAGGGAAUUCCCGUCUUUAGUAUUUUUUUGAAACUAUUUAGCGGGUAGGUACUUGUAUUAUGCAUAUUGUUCUACCAUAUUCAUGGUAAUUCAUUGCAAGCAAAAUGUGUGACCAUCAUCUCAACAUACAAAUGAAAUACGCAGCACGCAGUGUUGCGCAGGCGAACCGCACAAAUAUUUACGAACAUUUUGUGAAAAGGAAUGCAGAAAAACUAGACUCGAGUUGCUGGACUCUUUUUGACCGUGUGAAUGCCCAGAGCGACACCAAAAGAAAAUUUGAAAAACAUCAGACUCUUUUGCAUCCCAAUGUGAAACGGCACUAACUUAUAUUUAUAUUUAUGAUUUAUAUCAGCUUAAGCAAUGUACUUAACGGCUACAUUCCAUAAGUUUUGAUUAAAAACACUUAAGGCCCAGAAAACAAAGAGUAAACCUCAAUGGACGCUUUGCUUUUAGUGUUUCUCUCUAGCAAAAAUUGCGAAGGUUGCUUGCUCGACCCUGACUUUCUUCACAAAUUUGCAAUACACUCACAUUCUCAUUUUUGGAACUUGAACGCCGACUUGAUAUCAAUUUUUCCUCUCAAGUCGUGAGGCAAAUUACAUGCUGGGAAUAUUUCGUUAUAUUUAUGUAUUGAUAUAAAAAUAUAAGUACAUAUUAUAUUAUUAAUUUCGUGCAAAAUUAAAAAAAAAAAUGUAAGGUAUUUAAAUAAAUUUAAUAAGUGGUUUGUGUUAUCAACUUGAAAGCAAAUUAUUGAUCGUGUAACUACUGCGAUAAUAUAAAUAAUAUGCGCAUAAAAGUUAGUGAUCAUUAUUGAAGCUCUUAUCUGAGCGAAAUUUUUUCCAAGGAAAUCAAUUUUUAUAUCGUUUUUUUGAUAGAAUUUUCUACUGAAUACCACCUAAUAUUUUGUCAUAUAAAAGGCUUUUAAAUUAUAGCUUGGCAACUCUCUGUGCUGAAUCUAUUUUUCGGUACUUGCUGGAUAUCUGUAUAAAGUCGCCAUUUUUUCUUGCGCACAUUGUUAAUCAGCCAUUCUUGUGAAAUCUAUGCAUAGAAUAGAAAUUUAAUAGAAAUAAAAUAAUUUUAUGACUUAAAAAUCAUGCAAAACUAAGUAUACAUACACAAUAAAAAAUUCAUAUUUGUAAAUUUACAACUGCAUAUAAAGAAUCUCUUCGUAAGAGUUUGGCUUUCAGAGCCAGUGGAAAUUUUUUUGCGGUGUCCACCGCAGUACAUCAAUCAAAGUGGAAGUAAAGAGAGAUAAUCAAUAAUAAUUAAAUUAGCGUACGUUUCGAAGUUCCAAACAAAUAUUGCUACAGUUUACACUCAACGCGAUACACAUACGUUCCAGUGAAUUAAAAUAACUAAAAUUACGUCAAAGUUAUAAAGUAAACAAUUUAAAAAUUUACCUACAAUAAUGUCGGCAUCAAUAAGCAAAAUUCAUGUCACCAGUUCGACCGGUUUGUCUUUGAAUGAACGUUUUACGGCAGUGCAGGAUCGCCGUCGCGAAGUACCCGAACGCAUUUUGCGUCCAACUCGCGACACAUCUGUCGCCAAUCGUCGUUUAUUGCAGCAGCUAGCUAGACGACAUAAAAUGCAAGCAGCACUUAAAUUGAAACGCAGAAGCAUGCGUCCAAUUGGAGGAAGUGUAGCUAUGAGACGCGGCACGAUCAAGGCCUUGCGUGUAGCAGCUAAUGGAAAACCGAUCCGUACCAACAGCCUGACCACAGUAGCAACAAUGGAAGCCGAUUUGAUUACGAACAAUCAACGCAACUUAAACAGAUCCCUACGUCGAGCGAAUUCUGUUUCGAAUCGUUUGGGCCGCCCACUAGUAGGCGGUGCUGCUCAGCGUAUUGCCCAACGACGUUUACAACGUGCAUUGCCCGGUGCAAUCAUACCGAAUGAAAUGCAAAGGCGUGGUCGCUCACGCAGUCGUUCAAGAGCGCCGAUGGAGGUUAUAAAUUUGACCCGUAGUCGUUCACGCAGUCUCGGACGUUCUCUCCCAGCAGGCGUUCAAUUGCGUGGUCGCUCCCGUUCACGUGUACGUUCACGCAGUCGUGUCAAUGCUGUCGCCAGAACUAAUAUACCAGUAAAAGCCCGCUUGGGUGUUCGUCCUGGAGCUAUUGCACGCCGUCGACGUAGCCAAAGUGCUGUACGCGGCGUUGCACAAGGACGCAUACAACGUCGACGCAAUUCAAAUGUUGCUGCUGGAGUUGCUGGACGUACAACUAACGCUGGGCGCCAACGGGGAAGAAUCAUGACUAGAAACGCAAACGCUAUAGCAAACGCAGCUGGUCGUUCACGCUCACGCACUCGUAUUGGCGUACAGGCACGCGCUCAAUCGCGUGCACGCUCACGUACUCGUGGGGGAUCUGUUGUGGGUCAGCGCAAUGUAGGAUCGGUACAGGGUAGUCGCAUACGUGGCCGCAGUCAACAACGGCGUGGGGGACGUGGUGCAAUAGCACAAAGAAAUGGUAAAACUAAUGGUAAUAAGAAUGGACAUCAACAACAGCAACAGCAGCGACGUGGUCGUAGCCGCAGCCGUGGUGGACGCGGUGGCCGUAAUCAAGGUAAAAACUAACCAAGGCGUGUUGUAAAUGCACACGCUACGUCUGGAAUUGCGGUAUUCAAGUGUGGAAAAUACGUAAAACUGCUAAACCAGAGGUUGAUAAGGAUAAGCUCGACAAGGAGUUGGACCAAUAUAUGGCCACAACAAGAACUGAGAGUAGUGACUUUCUGCUAAGGAAUUAGGUCACUUAGCGUAUUAGCAUAACCACCGUGAAAUAUAUACAUAGAAUAGUUUAAACAUAAUAUUUAUUAUUUUACAUAAAACAAUUUGAAGAGUGUGUACGUUUCUUUUAAUACGUAAAAUAUUUCAACUUUUAGUUAAGUAAAAGCAGUGAAAACUGCAUAAUCAAACCUAUGUAUAUAAAUAAAGUAAUUUACAUUAAGAUCUUACCUAUUAGUACUGCGUAACAAUUUUGUAAAAUCCUUUAUUAUCUCAAAGGAAAUUUGAAUUUAAUAUACUUUAUUGUUGCCAUUAACAAAUAAAUGAUAUGCAGCAUAAAAAA